CCUAUAUAUAGGUGUCACGGUCCCUCGCAUCGCAAGAUCGAGGGCUAAGAGGGAAGCCGGUGCGAGGCCGGCGCUGCCCCCGCAACUGUCAGCGGCGAGCUUCCGCCCAUCCAUGUCACUGGGGCCGCACGGCCUUGGGAAGACGGGCCGAAGCCGGGACCCGCGAGCCAGGAGACCUGCCGCGACAGCCGUACGUCCU
rnacentral:ncRNA from 1 species